rnacentral:lncRNA from 1 species
UGAAUUGAAAGUGACUAUAUAUAUAUAUAAUCCAUGGCAAAUUGGGUUAGAAGAUAGGACAAGACAUUUUGAGUGGACUGUGUUGAGCAAUUUUAGAGAAUGAGAAUUGGAGAAUCCUCCAAACCUUGUUUUGUAUAUGAACACUGGCAAAAGGCUCCACCUCCUUUUUUUGACAUUGACUUGGAAGAAAGUUCUAUCCUUUUUGGUUUUUUCUAUACUCC